rnacentral:sRNA from 1 species
AAGGAUGAUGGGGAUAGGAUUACGCUGAAGGAGUAUCAGCAGAGUAGCGAGCUGACUA